AUGUCGGACAAUCAUCGAUGUAAGAUCUUAAGUCUGUACCACCUCGGGCUCAACAAACCAAAAAAAAUGGACUCUAUUCCUUGCACUGUGCAGAUAACUGAAUUGUCAACAACAGCAAUGGUUUGGAAACUGGUUCCUGACCACCUGUACCCAUAGACUUGGUGUGUCUACUGUGAAGGAUCUGAUUUCAAGCCAUGACUCUCUAUCUACUUCAUAACCACAAGACAGGCACUAGUUAUUGAUAGACUUGUAAUUUCAUGUCAUUGCCAAGAAUAUAUUGUACAAUUUGUGUGUCAUAAAUGAUCAAAUACUACCACUCUAGAGGAAAAAUCAAUUAAACGUAGGCUUGACUUAUGUACAUAAGUAUCUACAUUAAAUUGUAUGAAAAGAAAA